rnacentral:lncRNA from 7 species
AAUUAAUCGUACCCCUCUAACACGGCAGAAGGCAAAAGCAAGCGGCUCGUUCUUCCAAAGCAAAAGUCUGAUGGCUACUCAGUUUUGCCCCAGUUUUGAGAAUGAUGUUGAAGCUACAUCUGCAGAAGAGGCUACAGGAUAGCUGCAUUCUGCCUCUUUGUGUUCUCUCAUCACACAGGAAGAGAUGGAGUUAUCAUGGCUUCAUGGAUUGAACCAGAGAAGGACUAUCUGCUGAGAAGCAUCACUUCUGAAUAGUUAUUUUGCAGUUCUAUCAUUGCUAGAGGAAAGUAAUUGCACACUUGACAGAACAGACUUUCUUGAAAUAAAAACUCUUCGUGAACAGGAAUGAAAUUUCAGAAGACAGAAGUUCCUACGAGCAACAUCUCUUGAAUUUUGAGUAGCAGAAGAAAUUGUCUCUGCUAUGCUUGUUAUGUUAUCACACGUUUCAACAAGACCAAAGGGCACUUAGAGCUAAAAUGCCCAGUUCCUACUACUAAUUAUAUCAGCUUGAGUUGACCAUUUUCACAGUGUAUGCUGCGGCUGAUACUGGAGUUUGGGCUCCUGCACCACUUCCAUACUAUCCAAUUUUGGUUUUUUUUGUUUUGUUUUGUUUUGUUUAAUUUUUGUCUGUACAUGUUUGAACUAGUUCAAGUCCCAGUACCACUGUUUAAAUGAAUCCCUGUUUUCUUUCACUGCUGAUUUACUGAGAGCCUGUACAGAAAAGUUUGUAUCUUCUUUAAGAAAGGAGAGCCUUGUCUUUGCAGAAACAGAGAUUUACUUGUAUUUCCAGUGCAAAUUUCAUUUUUUCAAUGCACAAUGUUAAUAUUUUUAGACACAAAUCAAAGUGCUAGUGGGGAAAGGUUCAUUUUGUUGUCCAUAAUUUUCCAACCCAUUUUUAUACCUGCCAGAAAUUGCUCAUAAAAUGAGAUGUCAUCUAAUUUUCAAUAAUUUAUUGGUAUUUCUUUCAGAUCUUCCAUGGCCCAUAACAGAAUCCUUAUGUCAUGAGCUGUCAAUAGAGUUUCUGGUUUCAAAACUUCAAUCUAAAUAAAUUGG